GGAUUUGCGCAGAUGCGGUGUCAUGCCCAAUGAAGUGCUAACUGAGGGGCCAUUAUUGCCAGUUGAAAACCUUUACCAAUACUCCGCCGCACUACGUUUUUUACAUCGACAUAUGAAUUUUUAUACAAUUUAUAUAU